rnacentral:rRNA from 1 species
UACGGGGGGGGCAAGCGUUGUUCGGAAUUACUGGGCGUAAAGGGCCAGUAGGCGGCCAACUAAGUCGGAUGUGAAAUCCCCAGGCUCAACCUGGGAACUGCAUCCGAUACUGGAUGGCUUGAAUUCGGGAGAGGGAUGCAGAAUUCCAGGUGUAGCGGUGAAAUGCGUAGAUAUCUGGAGGAAUACCGGUGGCGAAGGCGGCAUCCUGGACCGACAUUGACGCUGAACGGCGAAAGCUAGGGGAGCGAAACGGG